GGCACCAAUGAUGACAGUCUAUUACAACUAAAGAUUAUAUUUAAUCCAAUCCUGUGUAUGAGAGGUUCAGU
rnacentral:snoRNA from 1 species